UACGUAGGGAGCAAGCGUUGUCCGGAAUCAUUGGGCGUAAAGCGCGCGUAGGUGGCCUCAUAAGUCCGCUGUGAAAGUCAAAAGGCUCAACCUUUGAAAGCCGGUGGAUACUGUGAGGCUAGAGUACGGAAGAGGCGAGUGGAAUUCCUGGUGUAGCGGUGGAAUGCGCAGAUAUCAGGAGGAACACCAAUAGCGAAGGCAGCUCGUUGGGACGUUACUGACACUGAGGCGCGAAAGCGUGGGGAGCGAACAGG
rnacentral:rRNA from 1 species